CAGCAGCCGCGGGAAUACGUAGGUGGCAAGCGUUGUCCGGAAUUAUUGGGCAUAAGGGGCUCGCAGGCGGUUUCUUAAGUCUGAUGUGAAAGCCCCCGGCUCAACCGGGGAGGGUCAUUGGAAACUGGGAAACUUGAGUGCAGACGAGGAGAGUGGAAUUCCACGUGUAGCGGUGAAAUGCGUAGAGAUGUGGAGGGACACCAGUGGCGAAGGCGACUCUCUGGUCUGUAACUGACGCUGAGGAGCGAAAGCGUGGGGAGCGAACAGGAUUAGAUACCCGCGUAGUCCCUGUCUCUUACAC
rnacentral:rRNA from 1 species